AAAGCACUUUGAAGAGAGAGUUAAAGAGGACGUGAAACCGGUGAGGUGGAAACGGAUAGAGUCGGCGUAUCUUGCAAGUAUUCAUUUACAUUUUUAUCGUAUUGUAAUCUCUGAGCUCCAGAUUGGGACAGUUUUUACUUUAUUAUAAAAUUGAGAUGCAUUUGCUUGUUUGGUGCGUAGGGAUGUUUGAGAUAGAUUUGUGACCGCCGUUUUGAGGCCAGCUUGCUGGUACCCAAACUGUGUUAGCAUUUUUUAUCUUGGAUAUUUGAGUAUGGCUUACGGGCGUUUAUUGGUUCGAUCUGAGUGUAAGUUACGGUCGCAUGCGACACGUGCUUUUCAAUUAGUUCGGUCCAGUUAAUGCUCUCAUACUCUUUCCCUAUGUAAAAGCCGGUCAUCUAUCCGACCCGUCUUGAAACACGGACCAAGGAGUUUAUCGUGUGCGCAAGUUUUUGGGUGUUUUAAACCUAAAAGCGCAAUGAAAGUAAAUGUUCUCUUUCGAGACUGAUGUGCGAUAUUUUUUUUUCGAAAAAAUUGCAGCAUGGCCCCAUUCUAUCUGUUUACAGAAGGGUGGCGGAAGAGCGUACGCGGUGAGACCCGAAAGAUGGUGAACUAUUCCUGAGCAGGAUGAAGCCAGAGGAAACUCUGGUGGAAGUCCGAAGCGGUUCUGACGUGCAAAUCGAUCGUCUGACU
rnacentral:rRNA from 1 species